CUGACAGAACCAGAGCUGUUAGAGCAGGGACGCGCGAAAGGCGGGAGUACGGGCGGCGCUGGAGAACCUCCGCGGCGGAGGGGCCUGGGGGUGGGACCGCGCCCGCGAGCCCGCCCUGACCGGGGUGUCUGUGUGCUUGUGAAGCGCUCCCUUGUUAGUUCCUUCUGUGAGACUCGGGGGAGACUGAAGAGGGAAAUCACCUGCGGGGAAUGAACAGGAAAGCAAUAAGAAGAUUUGGAAAAGAGGCACUGGCUACUGGAGGAAGGGAGAAAUCACCGAGAGAGCGAAAGAUGUAACAGAUGCAGUGACUCAUGCCUAUAAUCCCAGUACUUUGGAAGGUCAAGGCACAAGGAUCCAUUGAGGCCAGGAGUCCAAGACCAGCCUGCACAAUGUAGCAAGACUCCUUCUCUACAAAAAAAUAAAUAAAAAUUAGCCAGGCAUGGUGGUGCACUCCUGUAGUCCCAGCUACUCAAGAGGCUGAUGUAGAGAAUCGCAUUAUCCCAGAGGUCAAGGCUGCAGUGAGCCGUGAUCAUGCCUCUGCACUCCAGCCUGGACGAUAGAGCAAGACUUUAUCUCAAAAAACAAAAAUUUAAAAAGAUAUCAGGUAGCUCAUAGAAUUGUUGAGAGGGCUGUAAAACCAGGCUUGAAC
rnacentral:lncRNA from 1 species